rnacentral:tRNA from 1 species
GCGGCUAUGGUGAAACGGUUAUCACACCAGUUUGUGGUACUGGUAUUACGGGUUCGAUUCCCGUUAGUCGCCCCA